GGCUGGUUUUGGUUGCAGAGGGUAGUGACUCGUAGUCAACCAGGGGAAGAGUUUUUCUGCACAUGUGCACGUUCUAGUACUCAAGAUGAUGCAUGAAACAGAUUAAAGAAUAAGCCUCGAGGGAAGAGCUCCCUUGUGAUGAAGAAAGAAUGCUACUCUUAAAUGAGAUGCUUAGCAUCAAGUCACUGAAUCCCAGAAUCAUCAAGGCUGAAAGAGACCUUCAAGAUCAUCCAGUCCAAGCAUCAACCCAGCACCACCAUAAUUACCUCUGUACCACAUCCCCAAGUGCCCCAGCCAGACACCUCUCCAACACUUCCAGAGACAACGGCUGCACCACCUCCCUGGGCAACCUGAAGCAGGGAAACAUCUUUGAGGGACUAGAUGGACUUGCGAGAAUACCAAGAUUACUAUUGAUAUUUUCAUCAUUUAAAUGGAAAAGCAGGCUCUCAAAUUACUCUCUGCCUUGGCACAGAGUUAGAAACUGUAAAAUCUGUCCAUGAGGCUGUUUUGUGACAACAGCUGGAGAGCUGACAUUUGUGCUGUUCCUCAGCUUGACACCUUGGGAUCGCUUGAUCCCACGUAGCUGCUCAUGGGUCAGGUGUUCUCUACAGGCUCGUUACAUCAAAAUAUGUUAGAGAAAAAGGUAAUGAUGUAUGUUUUAGCCUUUUCCAUCAGGCUGUCCAGUGCACUCUUUUUAGAGGUCAUUUGAAAGCAGUGUGCAAAAUAAAUAGAGCCACAUAACACUGUGCAAAGACUUCAGAGAUUCAGGAGAAGGUAAGCAGUGUGUGCUAAAAUGCCUGAUUUUUAUUUAAAAUUGAGUGAAAAUAGAAAACCCAGGUGCAGUAAAGAAGAGACUAGUUGUGUUCAAUUUAAGAAUGAAAUGGAGACAGCUAAAAAGUUUUGAAGAAGACCUCUCAUUUUCUAAGUGUUGACUUGUAUGGGGAAAUAGAAUGGAGCAGCUGAAAAUCAGCUGCGAUGAAGAUAACCCUGAACAAAAUAAUUUUUCAUGAGUUUGAACUUGGGAAGUUACUCUUUAGAGUCACUGUUUUUUAACCUUUAGGCUGUAGCAGUCUUCAUGAUGUUCCUGAGGUAGGCAGAAUUUCUUUCAUCUGAGGACAUUUCCUCAUAAUGUCUAUUUAAAUAAAGUUUUAACACAGAAGAAGUGAACAUACUAAUUUUUCAGUACAGUAAACUUCAUCUUAGUGAACACAAAGGCUCCUUCCCUGACAAUUUAUAUCUAAACAUGGAAAUUACAGAGAGUAGGCUGGGGGAAAACAGUGCCACUAAUUCUGAAGUGUGUUAGAUAUUUAAAAAUACACAUGCUUCAGAUCCUGCCAGGUGGUCUUUGCACACUGCAUGAACCAAAUAACCCAGCUACUAUCCCUGCAGAACUUAAUUUAUAAUUAUAAUAUUGUUGAUUAUUUUUGAAUGUGUUAUAUAAUUUCUCAAUAGAUUUAGACUCAAUAAAAGAAACCCAUGCAUUUAAUUACUACUCUAAAAAUAUGUAUCAGUUAAUUUUAUGAUGUACUAAAACCAAA